rnacentral:tRNA from 1 species
UUAAUUGAAACCAAAAAGAGGUACAUCACUGUUAAUGAUGCCAAUGAAUUAAAAUUCCAAUUAAA